AUUAUUUUUUAGUUUCUUCAAUUUAGGGAUUUCCUGUAUUCAUUCUUAUGGCCUUCACAUUCUAGCCAUGUCUCCUAAAAUUCAGAAAUAAGAGAAUAGAUCUUUAACUUCCGUAUUCAAUAUUAAAGAGUUGAAAUCAAAUUGAAUACUCUGUUGCACAAUGCAAGAUGCAAAGAAUUACAGCUAUUUGGUGUCAAAUAGAUCAGUCCAAGAGUGGUGAGAUCAUCGCUCUCCUGGACUCAGGUCCAUGAUUGAUUACACCAAGGAUGAUGUUAACAGGAGAUACAACCUUAGCAAACUCUUUAAGUUCUGAAAAGAUGUUGUGUUCGUUGUAUGGUACUUUAUUAUCAGAAAUGUGUUGGUUUAAGAACAUUUUCUUAAAUUAGCUCUUUAGUAAUUUGUAUGAAUUCCAUCAAAUUUUAUCUUUUUAGAUUUUAGCUCAAGUAGGCAUGGAUGCUUUUGUUUAGCAUAAUAUAUGCGGUUUUAAGCUUGCCUUAUUCCCCCCUUGAUUGAUCAUUUGAGAUACAGUUACUUUAACAAGUUAAUUAUGUAA